rnacentral:rRNA from 1 species
GAUGAACGCUGGCGGCGUGCCUAAUACAUGCAAGUCGAGCGAACGGACGAGAAGCUUGCUUCUCUGAUGUUAGCGGCGGACGGGUGAGUAACACGUGGAUAACCUACCUAUAAGACUGGGAUAACUUCGGGAAACCGGAGCUAAUACCGGAUGAUAUUUUGAACCGCAUGGUUCAAAAGUGAAAGACGGUCUUGCUGUCACUUAUAGAUGGAUCCGCGCUGCAUUAGCUAGUUGGUAAGGUAACGGCUUACCAAGGCAACGAUGCAUGGCCGACCUGGGAGGGUGAUCGGCCACACUGGAACUGAGACACGGUCCAGACUCCUACGGGAGGCAGCAGUAGGGAAUCUUCCGCAAUGGGCGAAAGCCUGACGGAGCAACGCCGCGUGAGUGAUGAAGGUCUUCGGAUCGUAAAACUCUGUUAUUAGGGAAGAACAUAUGUGUAAGUAACUGUGCACAUCUUGACGGUACCUAAUCAGAAAGCCACGGCUAACUACGUG